GGAGAAGGACAAGGCCACCAGGAGGAGGAAGACGAGCGGCGCCGCAGGGCUAGGACACAGCCCCCGGUUUUGUCCCGUGCUGUCAGGCACUUCCAGGAUGAGGACAGAAUUGAACCCUUGGCCGACUGCACGGAUGGACAGACGGGGCAGGGGCUCACAGACGCAUGCUGAGAUCCAAGACCAAGUGGUUUCUGGCAGGCCAAGCUCUGCUCCGUCCCUGGGUUGCAAUGUGGUGGCGUGUCUGCUAGGAGCCCCAGUAAUAGAGUGAGGACCUGCCUGGCACUGGGCAGCAAAGAAACGGAUACAAAAAUAAACUACAAGAAAAGGG